GACAUCAUGUUUGCAUUUACAUUAUCAUGGCUUCAUCCAGUCGGGUGGGUUUUGGAAAGCUAAUCUGUAGAUCUAGGUACAGUUCGGCAAGGAAUAAACAACCACAGCUCCAUGUCAUCCAUCUCCAUGUCUGGUGUCUGUACAACAGUGUGGCCUUUGAGGGUGAUACGCAGCCCAUCUCAUGACCUCCCUCUUCACCACACUCUGGAUCUUUAGGACUCCAACAGCCUUUGGCGUCAAUAGGCCUGACACCAAGAGUCACUUCAUUUACUUCACCGAUUACGGAGUCUGUUGAUCCAGGAGACGUCUGUGCCCUCCUGACCUCUGGAACUUUAUAGGAAAGACUGCAGAGUCUUCAGCCCUAGAGUGACACUAGAGUUCAAAUGGUGCUGCUACAGAAGACAAAAGGCCGUCCUUUACGCCGAAUUCUGACCUGUGGGGACACUAAAUGAAUGACUACAAAAACCAGAACACUACUGCGUGACGGGACAGCAGGGCACUUCUAUUCUGGGUGGAUGAACUGCAUUCAAUGGGUCUGUGUGUUUUUGUAUGCAUGUAAUUUUGCUCUAAAGCACGUCAAUUCACAUGUCGCAUUAUCAUCUGGGUAAUGGGCCGCUUGCUUUUGUCUCACUCAAGAUCUGUCUCGCAAUAACGUCACAUCUAGUAGACCCAUUGCCAUUAAUGUCUCUUUGUAUUCUGUAAAUAACAUGGCACAUGGUGUCCAAUCCCAGCAGCCCAUCCAAUUGGUUACUAGGAGAAGCUUGUCAAUACACAAACCUGUCUUGGAGAAGAUAAAAAGCUUUAAGCCUUAUCCAUUGCUCUUUUUUUAUGUUGGUUUUACAUGGGAAGUCAUUAGGUCUGCUUUAUUACUGUAUAAUUUGUGAAAGUAUAAUGGCACAGAGAUUAAUCCCUUUUUUUGUAUCUUAUCAUUGAUCAUGCUUUCAGUCAUGUAAUGGCUUUUUGGCCAAGGCUCGUCCCUUUUUCUGCUGCUGAAUUAUUGCUAAUCUAAUGUUGUUGGACUCCAGAAUGUCUAAGGUCGUCCUUGCAGGAGACGUUUCCAGGCUUUUAGCUUGGCAUUGUGGGCUUUUUGAUUGUUAGCACUACAGUUGUUAGCCUCUAAAGCCCUUGAUAAACUUUCCACUGUGUGAAAAAAUAAAAUAAAUGCUCCCUGUUACGGCAUAUAUUUGGCUUAACCAGGAAAAAAGUCUGGAUAAAACAGAAAAUACAGUUUUUUUUUACACUUUUAUUUUUACACUUUUAGUUUGAAACCAUAAUACACACUGCUGACUUUAGUUGUAGUAUAGAGCGCUAAGUAUAUGAGAACUGAGCGUCGGAAAGUAACUUCAGCUUUAGUUGUCUGUGAAGGGCAUUACACGGGUUUCCACUAUGCUUUGCUACUAAGUUUUUCUGCAAUAUUUUCUUCACACGCUCUUGUUUCUGUACUGUCCUGCGUUCAUCUCAGGUAUGAGCCUUUCAUUUCUUUCCUUUCUGUGUUUGAGGAGAAUUAUUAGUCAUAUUCUUUCAGGAAUUGAUGUAACGUUACUUGAUCUGUGUGAACGUGAAUAGGUCUGCCUGCACUGCAGCAGGUGAAUAAAUAAGGAACCACACCGACCUCAGAGCCGAAACGUUUCAUUGUUCUGUUUUUAGGUCUGUUUGUUCUACGGAUUUUUUAUUGAUCAAGUCAAAUUACUCCGCAUACGCUCAUAUCUUGACUGACAUGGCCUCCUACCACCAGUUCAAAUGUGUCCUCCUGUAUGUUCCUACCGCUCUCCUGUAAUGACAAAUCACGCUACUUUAGACUUGUCCAGGUGUGUGUGUGUGUGUAUAUAUAUAUAUAUAUAUAUAUAUAUAUAUGUAUAUGUGUGUGUGUGUGUUUCACUGUACUUUUGUAAAAGCACUGGUGCGAGUGUAGGAAACAAAAGGGAACAUUAUUUUUUUUCACCCCCACCUUGCGAAAUCUGCUCAUUUGUUCUCUGUUGGUAGGAAUGGUUUGAAAUGUUUGCUUAGCUAGAUAAUUAAUCAUUUGAUUAUUUAAAUGAGUGUAAGAAGUCCUGCAUAGACAUGUACAGGUCAGUUUUUGCCAGACUCGUUACAAGGUUUGAUUCUUUGGUUGUACAGAUCUAUUGAAAAAAGAGAAUAAAGUUAUUAAAAACA